UAGGGAAUCUUCCACAAUGGACGAAAGUCUGAUGGAGCAACGCCGCGUGAGUGAAGAAGGUUUUCGGAUCGUAAAGCUCUGUUGUUGGUGAAGAAGGAUAGAGGCAGUAACUGGUCUUUAUUUGACGGUAAUCAACCAGAAAGUCACGGCUAACUACGUACAG
rnacentral:rRNA from 1 species